rnacentral:rRNA from 1 species
AUGCCAAUUCCACUGCCUCCUCGCUGGACAGGACUCUGCUCGAGAAUCUCUCUACACAAGUCAAGCCUAGACCAGAGGACCCUCAAUGGUGCAGUAUCAACCAUUUGCAGACAUAGACGUUUGUUCUAUUUUUUAUCUGAUACAGGAGUCAAUAUAUAUAAAUCUUACCAUCUCAUCCCACUUACAUGUAGGUGCAAGAUAACUAGAACCAAGAAGGUGACAGAUUUGGCUACGUCGGUAGCUAUUCUUGCUACUUCUGGGCUCACUUAUUGUGCCUUGACUGCUGGUCCUGAAUUAGCAAAGUAUGACGGACAUGUCGUUACCGUUGAGAGUCUGCCCCUUCUACAAGGACAUUGGCCUACUUCUACUGGUAAGGGGGUGCACAAGCAAGAUAUGCAGAAGUGA